rnacentral:rRNA from 1 species
UACGUAGGGGGCAAGCGUUGUCCGGAAUCAUUGGGCGUAAAGCGCGUGUAGGCGGGUCGGUAAGUCCGCUCUGAAAGUCCAGGGCUCAACCCUGGGAUGCGGGUGGAUACUGCCGACCUAGAGUCCGGAAGAGGCGAGUGGAAUUCCCGGUGUAGCGGUGAAAUGCGCAGAUAUCGGGAGGAACACCAAUGGCGAAGGCAGCUCGCUGGGACGUGACUGACGCUGAGGAGCGAAAGCAUGGGGAGCGAACAGG